CCCUUAGAUGUUCUGGGCCGCACGCGCGCUACACUGAAUGGAUCAACGUGUUUUCCCUUCCCGAGAGGGACGGGUAACCCGCUGAACCCCAUUCGUGGUAGGGAUCGGAGCUUGCAAUUGUUCUCCGUGAACCAGGAAUUCCCAGUAAGCGCAAGUCAUCAGCUUGCGUUGAUUACGUCCCUGCCCUUUGUACACACCGCCCGUCGCUCCUACCGAUUGAAUGGUCCGGUGAAGCGUUCGGACCGUGGCCUUUGGACGGUUCGCCGUCUGUUGGCUGCGGGAAGUUCGUUAAACCUUAUCAUUUAGAGGAAGGAGAAGUCGUAACA
rnacentral:rRNA from 1 species